rnacentral:rRNA from 1 species
UACGUAGGGUCCGAGCGUUGUCCGGAAUUACUGGGCGUAAAGAGCUCGUAGGUGGUUUGUCGCGUUGUUCGUGAAAACUCACAGCUCAACUGUGGGCGUGCGGGCGAUACGGGCAGACUAGAGUACUGCAGGGGAGACUGGAAUUCCUGGUGUAGCGGCGGAAUGCGCAGAUAUCAGGAGGAACACCGGUGGCGAAGGCGGGUCUCUGGGCAGUAACUGACGCUGAGGAGCGAAAGCGUGGGGAGCGAACAGG